CCUACGGGAGGCAGCAGUGGGGAAUCUUCCGCAAUGGGCGCAAGCCUGACGGAGCAAACGCCGCGUGAGUGAAGAAGGGUUUCGACUCGUAAAGCUCUGUUGUUGGGGACGAAUGUGGAGAUGGUGAAUAACCAUUUUCAAUGACGGUACCUGACGAGGAAGCCAACGGCUAACUACGUGC
rnacentral:rRNA from 1 species